rnacentral:rRNA from 1 species
AUACUGCCAGACGUUGGAACCGGGAGAGGUAAGAGGUACUACGAGGGGUAGGAGUGAAUCUUGUAACUCCCUGUGGGACCACCUGUGGCGAGGCGUCUACAGACGGUUCGACGGUGAGGGACGAAAGCUGGGGGCACGAACCGGAUUAGAUACCCGGGUAGUCCCAGCCGUAAACGAUGCUCGCUAGGUGUCAGGCAUGGCGCGACCGUGUCUGGUGCCGCAGGGAAGCCGUGAAGCGAGCCACCUGGGAAGUACGGCCGCAAGGCUGAAACUUAAAGGAAUUGGCGGGGGAGCACAACAACGGGUGGAGCCCUGCGGUUUAAUUGGACUCAACGCCGGACAACUCACCGGGGGCGACAGCAAUAUGUAGGCCAAGCUGAAGACUUUGCCUGAAUCGCUGAGGAGAGGUGCAUGG